AAGUCGUAACAAGGUUUCCGUAGGUGAACCUGCGGAAGGAUCAUUAACACGUACUAUCCAUUACUCAAAACACAACGGUAAUGUUUAUUCUCCCUACUUGUAUUUAUAUUAUAUAAAUAUAAAUCCAUGUAGGCUACCUGUCUUUCUUUUUUUACAAAGGAAAGACCCUUUUAAUAUUCACCCCAAUCACAUUGACGCUUAUUGUCUAUUCAGUAAUGGAUGGCAGAGCGACUAUGUUAUUUGUAUUUAUUUACAAAUAAACUAUAUAUUCAAUAAGAAACAACUCUUAACAAUGGAUAUCUAGGUUCUC
rnacentral:misc_RNA from 1 species